AAUGAACGUUGGCGGCGUGGAUUAGGCAUGCAAGUCGAGCGGUAAGGCCCCUUCGGGGGUACACGAGCGGCGCAAGGGAGAGUAACGCGUAGAUACGUGCCCUUCGGUGCGGGAUAGCCUCGGGAAACCGUGGGUAAUACCGCAUAACGUCCCCGGACCAAAGAUUUAUCGCCGGGGGAGCGGUCUGCGUCCUAUUAGGUAGUUGGUGGGUAAUAGCCUACCAAGCCAAAGAUGGGUACCGGGUGUGAGAGCAUGGCCCGGCUCACUGGGACUGAGACACUGCCCAGACACCUACGGGUGGCUGCAGUCGAGAAUCUUCCGCAAUGGACGAAAGUCUGACGGAGCGACGCCGCGUGCGGGAUGAAGGCCUUCGGGUUGUAAACCGCUGUCAGAGGGGAGCAAAGGCAACUUGAGCGAUCCUCAGAGGAAGACCGGGCUAAGUUCGUG
rnacentral:rRNA from 1 species